rnacentral:rRNA from 1 species
GAGUUUGAUCUUGGCUCAGAGCGAACGUUAGCGGCACGCCUAACACAUGCAAGUCGCACGAGAAAGGGAGCAAUCCUGAGUAGAGUGGCGCACGGGUGCGUAACACGUAGAUAACCUGCCCUUUGGAGGGGGAUAACGUUCCGAAAGGAGCGCUAAUACCGCAUAAAGCUGUUUCCGGUUUGCCGGAGAUUGACAAAGGUAGGGACCCGCAAGGGCCUAUCGCCAGAGGAGGGGUCUGCGGCCCAUCAGCUAGUUGGGGAGGUAAUGGCGUCACCAAGGCAGAGACGGGUAGCUGGUCUGAGAGGAUGAUCAGCCACACUGGUACUGGAACACGGACCAGACUCCUACGGAGGGCAGCAGUGGGGAAUCUUGGUCAAUGGGCGCAAGCCUGAACCAGCGAUGCCGCGUGAGUGAUGAAGGCC